rnacentral:rRNA from 1 species
GACGAACGCUGGCGGCGUGCUUAACACAUGCAAGUCGAACGGAAAGGCCCUGCUUUUGUGGGGUGCUAGAGUGGCGAACGGGUGAGUAACACGUGAGUAACCUGCCCUUGACUUUGGGAUAACUUCAGGAAACUGGGGCUAAUACCGGAUAGGAGCUCCUGCUGCAUGGUGGGGGUUGGAAAGUUUCGGCGGUUGGGGAUGGACUCGCGGCUUAUCAGCUUGUUGGUGGGGUAGUGGCUUACCAAGGCUUUGACGGGUAGCCGGCCUGAGAGGGUGACCGGCCACAUUGGGACUGAGAUACGGCCCAGACUCCUACGUGAGGCAGCAGUGGGGAAUAUUGCACAAUGGGCGGAAGCCUGAUGCAGCAACGCCGCGUGCGGGAUGACGGCCUUCGGGUUGUAAACCGCUUUCGCCUGUGACGAAGCGUGAGUGACGGUAAUGGGUAAAGAAGCACCGGCUAACUACGUG